rnacentral:rRNA from 1 species
CUUUUGCUGGCGACCGGCGCACGGGUGAGUAACACGUAUCCAACCUGCCCUUUACUCGGGGAUAGCCUUUCGAAGAAAGAUUAAUACCCGAUAGCAUAAUGAUUCCGCAUGGUUUCAUUAUUAAAGGAUUCCGGUAAAGGAUGGGGAUGCGUUCCAUUAGGUUGUUGGUGAGGUAACGGCUCACCAAGCCUUCGAUGGAUAGGGGUUCUGAGAGGAAGGUCCCCCACAUUGGAACUGAGACACGGUCCAA